GUCAGAGGCAACAUUCAAGGAUCAGGAUUCACGCCUGGCACCCAGCUGUACCUGCUGAAGGCAGCAGGCAGGCUGCUGCUCCUGCCCUGGGGACCAAGAGGCUGGUGACAUGCAAAUUUCUUCUUCUGCCACAGCGCUGCCAUGAGCAGGAGUUUGUUGUGAGCAUCCCAACACAUCUCUCAGCCAGCUCCUUCCCUGGCAGCACUCGAUUUGCUGAAGGUUGGAUCCACCUCUGUCUCUUGCUCUUCCCUUCCCUCUGCCCUUUCUGAGGAUGUUCCUGGCAGAAUAUCAGAGUCUUAUUAUGAAAGAGAGUGGUUAUUAUCCAGUGCAGUAGCCUGGAAAGGACUGGAAUUU